AAUACUAAUGUCUUUUUUCCUUAGAAGAUAGUUCAAGCGUAAAUACUAAAUUAAAAAAGUUUAAUUUGGUAAUAGUAAAUCUUGAGUCAAACGAUCACGAAGGAUAGACGGGCCACAACUACAGUUAUUUAUAAUGCUUUUAUCUUCUGCCCACUCAAUCUUCUGCCCACUUAUCAUCUCCACCCAAGUUUUGGCUUUGUUUGAGCCUGUCUUUUUAUCAGAAAAAUUGUACAUAUCUAAAAAAAACAGUGUCUGGGAGUGUAAUAAAACUUACCUGGUGGUUCUCUCCACUUCAGGUGUCAGUGCCGUCCAUACCUUUGGGAGCUCAUCUCUACAAGUUUGGGUUCUCGGUAUCAACCACUAAAAAGAAGAAAAAAAAACGCCUCCAUUAUGGGUGUGACAGAUUAUUUGCCGUCAAUAUCGAAUAUGUUCAACAGUAAUUCAAAAGAAAAAAAUUCCACCUAUGGCUUCAUUCAAAUCAUUUCCAAUCCAGCAGGAGCGACCAUAACUUCUGGAGCUGUAGUGGGCAUUUUUGUGUCUGGCAUUGCCACUGGUUUGGCUAUUGCAGCAGUCGUUGGAUUGGGUGCCACAACAUACAUUUGUUACAAUCAAAUGAAUACAAUGAAGACCCAAAUUACAGAAACUGCACACCGAGAACACCAUAAGCAACCGACCGGCUGCGUCAAUUGACUGAAGAUUCAUGUCUUUAGUUUAUCCUUCUUAGCCACUUUACCACUUUCAUUAGCCUACUGGUAAAAUACACAUGUUUCUAUGGCA